GACGAACGCUGGCGGCGUGCUUAACACAUGCAAGUCGAACGGAAAGGCCCUGCUUUUGUGGGUUGCUCGAUUGCCGAACGGGUGAGUAUCACGUGAGUAACCUGCCCUUGACUUUGUGAUAACUUCAGGAAACUGGGGCUAAUACCGCAUAUGAGCUCCUGCUGCAUGUUGUUGAUUGGUAAAUUUCGGCGGUUGGGGAUGGACUCGCGGCUUCUCAGCUUGUUGGUGGGGUAGUGGCUUACCAAGGCUUUGACGGGUAGCCGGCAUGAGAGGGUGACCGGCGACAUUGGGACUGAGAUACGGCUCAGACGCCUACGGGAGGCAGCAGUGGGGAAUAUUGCACAAUGGGCGGAAGCCUGAUGCAGCGACGCCGCGUGCGGGAUGACGGCCUUCGGGUUGUAAACCGCUUUCGCCUGUGACGAAGCGUGAGUGACGGUAAUGGGUAAAGAAGCACCGGCUAACUACGUG
rnacentral:rRNA from 1 species